CCCCUCUCAAGAUCACACCUGGAGAGUUUCCAAUACUCUUCCAGUCUUGGCUAUGGGAGGGAAAGUCAAGCAGAGGCCUACACCCAUUCCAUUCCUAGCUCAGGCAGUGGCUAGUGAGUGGAUGGCAAUCUGCUACAAGU